rnacentral:rRNA from 1 species
ACUCCUGCGGGAGGCAGCAGUGGGGAAUUUUGGACACUGGGCGAAAGCCUGAUCCAGCAAUGCCGCGUGAGUGAAGAAGGCCUUCGGGUUGUAAAGCUCUUUUGUCAGGGAAGAAACGGUGAAAGCUAAUAUCUUUUGCUAAUGACGGUACCUGAAGAAUAAGCACCGGCUAACUACGUGCCAGCAGCCGCGGUAAUACGUAGGGUGCAAGCGUUAAUCGGAAUUACUGGGCGUAAAGCGUGCGCAGGCGGUUUUGUAAGUCUGAUGUGAAAUCCCCGGGCUCAACCUGGGAAUUGCAUUGGAGACUGCAAGGCUAGAAUCUGGCAGAGGGGGGUAGAAUUCCACGUGUAGCAGUGAAAUGCGUAGAUAUGUGGAGGAACACCGAUGGCGAAGGCAGCCCCCUGGGUCAAGAUUGACGCUCAUGCACGAAAGCGUGGGGAGCAAACAGGAUUAGAAACCCUGGUAGUCCC